GAUCCUGGCUCAGGAUGAACGCUAGCGGCAGGCUUAAUACAUGCAAGUCAAGGGGGUAGCAAUACAACCCGGCGCACGGGUGAGUAACGCGUACACAACAUACCAUAUACUGGGGUAUAGCUUUGGGAAACUGAAGGUAAUCCCCCAUAACAUUGCGAGAGGGCAUCUGAUUGCAAUUAAAGUUUCGGCGGUAUAUGAUUGGUGUGCGUUUGAUUAGCUAGUUGGUAGGGUAACGGCCUACCAAGGCGACGAUCAAUAGCUGGCGUGAGAGCGCGACCAGCCACACUGGAACUGAGACACGGUCCAGACUCCUACGGGAGGCAGCAGUAGGGAAUAUUGGACAAUGGAGGAAACUCUGAUCCAGCCAUGCCGCGUGAUAGAUGAAGGCCCUCUGGGUUGUAAAUAUCUUUUAUCUGGGAAGAAACAAUCUUAUUCUUAAGAUCUUGACGGUACCAGAGGAAUAAGCACCGGCUAACUCCGUG
rnacentral:rRNA from 1 species